GUUUCCGUAGUAUAGUGGUCAUCACGUGCGCUUCACAUGCGCAAGAUCACCGGUUCGAUCCCGGGCGGAAACA
rnacentral:tRNA from 1 species